rnacentral:rRNA from 1 species
GAUGAACGCUGGCGGCGUGCCUAAUACAUGCAAGUCGAGCGAACAGACGAGGAGCUUGCUCCUCUGACGUUAGCGGCGGACGGGUGAGUAACACGUGGAUAACCUACCUAUAAGACUGGGUUAACUUCGGGAAACCGGAGCUAAUACCGGAUAAUAUAUUGAACCGCAUGGUUCAAUAGUGAAAGACGGUUUUGCUGUCACUUAUAGAUGGAUCCGCGCUGCAUUAGCUAGUUGGUAAGGUAACGGCUUACCAAGGCAACGAUGCGUAGCCGACCUGAGAGGGUGAUCGGCCACACUGGAACUGAGACACGGUCCAGACUCCUACGGGAGGCAGCAGUAGGGAAUCUUCCGCAAUGGGCGAAAGCUUGACGGAGCAACGCCGCGUGAGUGAUGAAGGUCUUCGGAUCGUAAAACUCUGUUAUUAGGGAAGAACAAAUGUGUAAGUAACUAUGCACGUCUUGACGGUACCUAAUCAGAAAGCCACGGCUAACUACGUG